UACAAUAAACUAAAAGUUAUCAACAGAUGGAAGUUAUGAAGUUAAACUACAAAGAAUAAAGCUAAAAACUACAUAAGCUUCUAGUGAUAUCUAGAGAUGCAUAUUGAUACAAGAAUAAGUACCUGCCUUGAAGUGACUGAUAGCGACCAUUUUGCCUGAGUUAUGUGAUUCCAUAUUAUCAGAAUCUAUAACCAAAGAUAGAGCAACCAAGACAUUAAAUAAUCUCUUGAAAGGAAUAAGAGUUCAGAAUUAACAAAGGAAGAAAAAGAACACAGAGACCUACCAAUAUAACUAACAGACUUGCUCCAGAACCGACUAAUGAAUGAAAAUGUAGAUGAUUUCCAACUUCCAUGGUUUUCAAAUGAUGAACCAUGCAACCUGGCCCCUAACUAAGAAUCAAUGCAGCAAUUAGUAAAGCUACCAUACAUAUUUCCCAUGACAAACAUAUUUUCUAUUUCUAUUAUUUCUCUUUUUUUAAUUCCCUCUUUUUGUAGCAGUGGAGGGGCAUGGAUACGUUAGGCAUUCUCACACAGUUGCAUAUAAGACAAAAAUAAAUAGAAGCUCUGAAUUACUGAAAGGCUAAUAAACAAUGGGUUUUGGAAAUUAUUUCGUGAGAUAUUAAUAACAAAAACUGCUACAGGAAUGGAGACAGAAAGUGAAUAACAUUUAUUAAUCAAGAGAGAAUUCCAUCUUGGCACCUUGCUUCAAUAAAAUUUACACAAAGUACAAUAUUAUUUGUAUUGGUUUUACACCCAGUGGAUAUCAUUUUUUUUUUUGGGGGGGGGGGGGGGGGGGGGGGCACAANNNNNNNNNNNNNNNNNNNNNNNNNNNNNNNNNNNNNNNNNNNNNNNNNAUUCAACUAAUUUAGAAGAAAUGAAAGACGAGUGGAGAUCAUACUAGUGCAUCAAGAUCAAUAAGUAUAUAGAUUAUUUUCAAUUUUCCUUGGAACCAAAAAAAAUAAAUUCUUCUUUUAAGAUUCUUUACACAUGAAAAAAAUGCAGCUAAUUAAAUUCAAAUAUGUUAUUAAAAAAUAAAGGAAAGCUACACUAACAUUCAUCAAGUUGUUUGAAGUUCCCUUGAAGAUGUGGGGAUUAUAGUAAUCUAAAUACCACAAUAUACUGAUUGAGAAGUUUUAAUAUUUAUAUUGUUAUGGAUUAAACGAUUAAUCCGUACUAAUAUAGGGGACGACCUAGUACAUGUGUGAAUUCCACAGAGUACACCUACAAAACCCCACACCAGGGGGCAGUAGAAGCCACCCUGGCCCUGUCGACCUUACCACAGCCGGAGGGGAAAAAUUGUACACUACAUAAGGCUCCACACAACAAAAAUAUAUCAUACUUUGCAUUGUCAUUUGAUUGUGAUUAUAGUAGCAGAGUGAUAACAUAAGAUGAGACUAAAGCAAUAAGGAAAUUAAAAAAAAAAAAAAAAAAAAAAAAAAAAAAAAAAAAAAAAAAAAAAAAAAAAAAAAAAAAAAAAAAAAAAAAAAAAAAAAAAAAAAAAAAAAAAAAAAAAAAAAAAAAAAAAAAAAAAAAAAAAAAAAAAAAAAAAAUGAAAACGAAAACGAAAACGAAAACGAAUCUUAGAUAAUUAAGUAAACAAAAUCUGAUAAAAACAUUAAAAAAAAUUGCUUCCAAAGAGAUACUAUAUAAUCAUAAAACAAAGACAUUUACAACAGAUACUACAUAAACAUAAACCAAGAAGAGAUAGAAGCAAUAUGAAUAAUGAAAAACACGAGACUUUAUUUUUGUCAAACUCUCUCUCCUUCACUAGGAAAGGGAGAGCGGACAAAGUACCAGAUUGGGAAUGAUUUUGGGUAAGAAAAGCGUACGAUAAGAGUAAGCAGAUGAUGUCGAUAGAAGACGAUUUGAAGCAUAAAGAGAGA
rnacentral:lncRNA from 1 species